rnacentral:antisense_RNA from 1 species
CUCGAUGGUGGCUGUUCGCAGGGCGCCCUAGGGCGCGCCGGUUUGUGCACUCCCGGUCGACUAACCUGCUUACAGCCGCCACCCUU